rnacentral:pre_miRNA from 17 species
UGAUGUGAGGAGGAGCUCCUUUCGAUCCAAUUCAGGAGAGGAAGUGGUGGGAUGCAGCUGCCGGUUCAUGGAUACCUCUGCAGUUCAUGCCGGUAGGCCUGCACUUGCAUGGGUUUGCAUGACCUGGGAGAUGAACCUGCCAUUGUGUUCCUCUAUUGAUUGGAUUGAAGGGAGCUCCGGCUACACCUAUC